rnacentral:rRNA from 1 species
UACGGAGGGGGUUAGCGUUGUUCGGAAUUACUGGGCGUAAAGCGCACGUAGGCGGAUUGGAAAGUUGGGGGUGAAAUCCCGGGGCUCAACCCCGGAACUGCCUCCAAAACUAUCAGUCUAGAGUUCGAGAGAGGUGAGUGGAAUUCCAAGUGUAGAGGUGAAAUUCGUAGAUAUUGGAGGAACACCAGUGGCGAAGGCGGCUCACUGGCUCGAUACUGACGCUGAGGUGCGAAAGUGU